rnacentral:rRNA from 1 species
GACCAGACUCCUACGGGAGGCAGCAGUGAGGAAUAUUGGCCAAUGGCCGAGAGGCUGAACCAGCCAAGUCGCGUGAGGGAAGACGGCCCUACGGGUUGUAAACCUCUUUUGUCGGGGAGCAAAGCGAACCACGUGUGGUUCAUUGAGAGUACCCGAAGAAAAAGCAUCGGCUAACUCCGUGCCAGCAGCCGCGGUAAUACGGAGGAUGCGAGCGUUAUCCGGAUUUAUUGGGUUUAAAGGGUGCGCAGGCGGAGGAUCAGGUCAGCGUUAAAAUGGAGAGGCUCAACCUCUCCGAGCCGUUGAAACUGGUUUUCUUGAGUGAGCGAGAAGUAUGCGGAAUGCGUGGUGUAGCGGUGAAAUGCAUAGAUAUCACGCAGAACUCCGAUUGCGAAGGCAGCAUACCGGCGCUCAACUGACGCUCAUGCACGAAAGUGUGGGUAUCGAACAGGAUUAGAUACCCUCGUAUAA